AUGAUCGUUUGGCUAAAUAUAAUUUUCUUGAUAAAAACGCUCACUGGUGUCCAGUCAAAGGUUGAAUUUUUAGAGUCUGGAGAGGAUCUGAAAAAGCCUGGAGACUCUCUACGCCUUUCCUGCAAAACUUCCGGGUUUACUUUCAGCAAUCACUGGAUGAGCUGGUAUCGACGGGCUCCUAGCAAGGGACUGGAGUGGGUUUCCAGUAUAGAGAAAUUGCCUGGGAGCACCAAGAAUUAUGCCAAUUCAGUACAAGGCCGAUUCACCAUCUCCAGGGAUGACUCCAAGAACAUGUUGUAUCUGGAGAUGAAGAACCUCAGACCUGAAGACACCGCUGUGUACUACUGUAGGGCUGCACAGUGCACAAAAGUGAACCCUAGUGCUGACAUAAACCUUUUACUUGUGGUGCGAGGUGAAGCUUAG